CAGCAGCCGCCGUAAUGCCAGCCUUCACAAGCAUAUACAAAUGUUGCUGCGUUUAAAAAGCUCGUAGUUGAAUUUGUUCAGAAGUUCUUCACCUCGUCUGUAAACGUGAGAAGUGACUUUACUGAUCAUGUUUUCGAGUUUGCUUGCGCUAAACUGUGUCGAGUGAAUUAGAGAAACAGUUUACUUUGAGAAAAUUUGAGUGUUCAAAGCGUCCUUUGGGUGUGAACGCCGUGGCCUGGAAUAAUAGAAAAUGACUCCGUACCUAUGUUGGUUUAUGGUAUAGACGUAAUGAUUAAAAAGGACGGGCGGGGACAUUCGAAUUGCUGCGUUAGAGGUGAAAUCAAGAACGAUGGUCAGAGUUUUGAAGAGGAUUAGAUACCCUCGUAAUUCUAACUGUAAACUUUACAUGCUUAAGAUCCGUUCACUUUUCGAAAUAGACUUAACGGGGAGGUUACCCGGUAAACCAAAGCUAGGUAUGUUACCGGGGGAAGUAUGGUUCCAAAAUCCACACUUAAAGG
rnacentral:rRNA from 1 species